rnacentral:lncRNA from 1 species
GGUGUUGUAUAUUGCGCCAUGCGCUUGGGUGUUGUGGUAUGAGGAUUUGGUCCUCUGUUGUAGUUCUGCCGAUCUAGGUACCCUCACCAUCCUUUAUAUACUCCAGGAGGCGGGAGUCCUAGUUAGAUUACAAGGAGGAGUCCUAGUAGGAGUACACGGUAUGAGUCCUAGUCGGAUUACAAGGGAAUCCUAGUAGGAGUCCAACCUGUUCCUUUCCUUGCAGGUACUGGGG